AACGAACGUUGGCGGCGUGGAUUAGGCAUGCAAGUCGAACGCGAAUCCCUGGGCAGCUGGGGAGGAGAGUGGCGAAAGGGGCAGUAAGGCGUGGGUAACCUACCCUCCGGGCCGGGAUAGCUUCGGGAAACUGAAGGUAAUACCGGGCGACGCAGCGAGAUCGCAUGGUCUUGCUGCCAAAGGUCCGCCGCCGGGGGAGGGGCUCACGUGGUAUUAGCUAGACGGCGGGGUAACGGCCCACCGUGGCAAAGAUGCCUAGCAGGUGUGAGAGCACGACCUGCGCCACUGGCACUGAGACACUGGCCAGACACCUACGGGUGGCUGCAGUCGAGGAUCUUCGGCAAUGGACGCAAGCCUGACCGAGCGACGCCGCGUGUGCGAUGAAGGCCUUCGGGUUGUAAAGCACUGUCGAGGGGGAGGAAGCCGCAAGGUUGACCUAUCCCUGGAGGAAGCACGGGCUAAGUUCGUG
rnacentral:rRNA from 1 species